rnacentral:rRNA from 1 species
AGUGAACGCUGGCGGUAGGCCUAACACAUGCAAGUCGAACGGCAGCACAGUAAGAGCUUGCUCUUACGGGUGGCGAGUGGCGGACGGGUGAGGAAUACAUCGGAAUCUACUUUUUCGUGGGGGAUAACGUAGGGAAACUUACGCUAAUACCGCAUACGACCUACGGGUGAAAGCAGGGGAUCUUCGGACCUUGCGCGAUUGAAUGAGCCGAUGUCGGAUUAGCUAGUUGGCGGGGUAAAGGCCCACCAAGGCGACGAUCCGUAGCUGGUCUGAGAGGAUGAUCGGCCACACUGGAACUGAGACACGGUCCAGACUCCUACGAGAGGCAGCAGUGGGGAAUAUUGGACAAAGGGCGCAAGCCUGAUCCAGCCAUACCGCGUGGGUGAAGAAGGCCUUCGGGUUGUAAAGCCCUUUUGUUGGGAAAGAAAAGCAGCAGGUUAAUACCCCGCUGUUCUGACGGUACCCAAAGAAUAAGCACCGGCUAACUUCGUG